UGUGGUACGGGGGCUGUAGUCAGGAGGCAAGGAGGAGCAAAGGAGGAGAAUGUUGCCUCAUCUUCUGCUCACAACAAGCCCAGGCCACCUGGCAUGGGAGCGGUAUGGGCAUAGCAGGGAGCAUGUGAAUCACCUUGGACGUGCUGCAGUUCUGUGAAGAAGAGGUGUGUGUUUGUGUUGGAAGUGCUGUAAUGUUUGGCACCCUGAGACUUCUACCUGCUCACCAUGACUGGUAUUCCCUGUUCUGCAAGACUGGGAGGAAAAGAGCAUAUGCAAUGAAACGGAUCCUUGGGUUUUGGAUCUUGAGGUGACCUUGACUCCACAAGUCUCCUGAACAAUUAAAUUACAGAACAGUUGAUUGCUUCUUUGUUUGUGUGGCAACAGAUUAUGGAAUAAGAUAAAAGGAGCCUUCAGAACCUA